rnacentral:rRNA from 1 species
AUUGAACGCUGGCGGCAGGCCUAACACAUGCAAGUCGAACGGUAGCACAGGAGAGCUUGCUCUCUGGGUGACGAGUGGCGGACGGGUGAGUAAUGCAUGGGGAGCUGCCCAAUCGAGGGGAUACCAGCUGGAAACGGCUGCUAAUACCGCAUACGCCCUGAGGGGAAAGUGGGGACCUUCGGCCUACCGCGAUUGGAUGCACCCAUGUGGGAUUAGCUAGUUGGUGAGGUAACGGCUCACCAAGGCGACGAUCUCUAGCUGGUCUGAGAGGAUGACCAGCCACACUGGAACUGAGACACGGUCCAGACUCCUACGGGAGGCAGCAGUGGGGAAUAUUGCACAAUGGGGGAAACCCUGAUGCAGCCAUGCCGCGUGUGUGAAGAAGGCCUCGG